GGGAUCUGCCCGCCCCGGCCUCCCAAAGUGCUGGGAUUACAGGCGUGAGCCACCACGCCUGGCUGAGAACUGUUUGACAGAGGCUGAGGGGGGGCUCCUGUCCCUUCCUGGGACAUCCACAUCCCACCCAGUUUCCCAUAUCGACUAUGACACUCGAAGCAUCACAGCAAGGGCAGCUGCAUCCCCGCAGUUCUCUGCACUCAUGCCACAGCUGCGUGAGCAGCCGCAGCCCUGGAGCUGCCACUCAGCCUUAUCGUGCUGGCACAAGCACAUCAGAAACUACCAAGCCCCCAAGAGGGAGGAUUGGGGACCCAGGGGAGUGAACCAGGAGGGAGGAAUGUGGCCCAGGAGAGUAGGGAGGAGUGGGGGCCCUGGGGAGUGAACUAUGAGGGAGGCGUGGGGGCUCAGGGGAUGAACCAGGAGGGAGGAGGGUGGAGUUCGGCCCAAGGAGUGAACCAGGAGGGAGAAGUGUGGUCCAGGGGAGUGAGUCAGGAGGGAGGAGGGAGGAAAGCGGUCCAGGGAAUGAAGCAGAAGGCUCUGGGGGUAGCAAGUUCACACACCACAAAUACCUCCCAAUCCAUCCGCGUGCAGGGAGGGGAUGGAAACCACACAGGACCUGCAGCACUUUCGCCUCGCAGAUGAGGAGUGAGGAUACCGACUCAUGCACAAAAUCAGAGCUAAAUUUCUACCACGGUGGGGAGACGCUUCAUAGACCCAAAUGGGUACAAAAAGAAACCAAUCAUACAAGAUCAGUGGAUGGAAUGGGAUCAGAAAUUUAAGCCUGUAACGAGUUUUCAGAAAAAACUUCACUUUAUCUGCAAGAUGACUGCAGCUCUGCUUGAUCAUUUCUGCAAAUGUCUAACUCAUGAUGAGCCAUCUCAGAGCCGUUCAAGAGGAGUAACAAAAUCAAAGCAUACGGCAUCCUCCGUAUUUUAGAUAGCCUGCAACAGUAUGGAAAUGAGCAGCGGUGCCAGAGCUUUCAAGUUUGUUUGAAGUAAAUUCCAGCAUCAGGGCAGCAUCUUCCUGGCUGAAGCAAUGAGGUAGGCUCCUGCUCACCGCAUGGGAGACCAGCUUUCAGCUAAGCUGCUGUUAAGGGUCUGCAAACCAUGAUCCCCGACCGAGCCUUGGCCAGGGAUUUUUACACGUUGAAGUUUUCACAAAAGAAAUAUAUGCAGAGACUUCUGUGGCCCUCAAAGCAUAACACGUUGCCUACUCUGCCCUUUACAGGAGCUUCUAGCUUUGCUGUCAGUUACAAAGUGUUUCUAUAAAAUAAUGUCACUGAUUCUCAAGCAUGCCAGCAAAAGUCACACUUCUCAACAAUCCUCAGUGGAGAUGCACCAUCCUGUGUUUCACACAGAUUUUAGAUUUUUAAAAGCCAAAAUAAGGGAGGUAAUUCAGCUAAGUAUUAUAGUAACACAAUUUGAGAUACUUACUGAUGUGUGACAACAGAAUACUUGGCAUUCCUGUGAGGCAAUAAACUAGCUCAAACACAAAAUAACAAAUCAAAGCAUGUUUUGGCCUCUCAAAGUGAUCAGUGAAAUUGGAAAUAACAUUCAGUUAAAUGACACUUAAAAAAAAAAAAAAAA
ensembl:lncRNA